UCUGCCGCGUGCCCUGAGCUGUAAUGGGCCCCACCGGGCCCUGCUUUCUCGCCUCGGUAAAUGGAAUACUAAAAACACUGCCGCUGAGGGACUGUGGCAAGGAUCCACAAAGCUCCCGAGUCAGGCCUGCAGCGCAGGCCCGGCAGCAAGGGGACCCAUGGCCGCUGCUCUGUCACAAAUCCUCAUGACCCACUGUUUAUAAAAGCUCUUUCUCAGCUCAGCGAAGGGACCUCAGACAUCCUUCUGCAGCCCUCUGCCUGUCUGCAAAGAGGUGGCGAUGGAGGUGCUGAGGUGAACCCCCAGGCCCCCCCGUCACCGACACAGACCGAGCGCCUGACACAGUUCUGGGCGCUUCAUCUAGGGACCCCCGGAGUCCCAGGACCAUUCGAGGGGCAGGGUGGGGACACUGAGGCUCAGAGGGACAACUCGACUCGCCACACAGCUGGAAGGCUGUGGAGCUUCUGAUUCCAGGCCGUCUCGUUCAGUGUCGCACUCAACUAAUACCCGGUCCUGUGUGGGGGCCUGCCAGUCAGCUGGGAGCGGCGUCCACCCUCGGGGGCAUCCGACCAGGGAGGGAGGCAGGGCUCCCUGCACCUGCACGCAGCCACGAUGGGGACUGGGGGGACCCCACGGGCGGAAGGACGCUAAAGGCUCGUCUGGACACCCGCACCUGGGAAUGGACGUGUCUGUGCAGGAGGGCCUGACAUCCCGAAUGGAAAGGGGACGGCCGACUGCCUUUCCCGUUCCUUGUUUAUGUGUUACCAGCCCUGGAGGACCCCCACGCAGCAGUCAUGAGCUGAGGGGAAGGGCAGGGCUGGGCGGUGGAGAGACGGUCUUGCGAUGUCUCCAGGCUGACCUUUCCCACGUAGCAGAUGGAGACAUGGGCUGAGUCACAGGCGGGUGAUAAACCGGGAAGGCGACUUUGCUUCCAGCCCUCACGGUGACCCUCUGGCCUCUGUUAACAGCCCAGUGGUGACAAGGGCCGCACUGUGCCGGGGGGGCGGCAGGGACAGCUUCUCCUUAGGGUCAUGGAAUGCGGACCCCCUCUGAGAGUCACUGGCCGAAUAAGGUCUGGGAGCCUCGCAGGGAGGACGCCCUGAGGUUUCUGAGCUUUCAUGAGACCAGAACAUUCUCUCACACAGAACACCUAUCUCAGUCUUACAACGUGCAUGGCCAGGCGCCAAGAGGUUCUCUUUAGAAUCCGGUUGUUCUCCAAGCGUCCCUGACCACAGAACUUGUUCCCGGGUUACGUCUAUCAACAUCCCGAGGGAGGCUGGUGCUCACUCCAGGUCCCUGCCGUGCCUGGGCUCCGUUGAACCCUCGGCAAACGGCCGGCUCCUCAAAGGAACCAGGAACAAAUGAGGAAUGGGAUCGGCGGCCUGGGUCAGGGGACAGCGGGUCAUGGGCAAGCACAGGCCCUAGCCUGGAACGGAGGGGAAUGAGGCCCGGAGGUGGGGGUCAGCUGUGGAGGGGACAUGGCGAACCCUCCCAGAACGGCCGGGAGGGCUCUGGCGUACAGGAGCUGGAGACCUGGCGGAGGGCUCGGUUCAGCAGCAGGGGCAACAGAGGCCACGGGCUCUGGGGACACGGCGGAACAGCAGGGCGUGCCACAGUGCUGAUUCCUAACUGCUCGGCGAGUGCCAGGGAGGGAUGUCUGUCCACCCCUGCAAGGCUGUUUCGGGCCGGAGGAUGGAGCCUGACGCCCACUGACUGAACUGCAGCCCCGAGCCCACUCCCCACCGUGAGCCACCCCAGCAGCUGCAGAAGUACACGGCAGGAGCUCAACAAACGCUUACUGGACUCCCAUGGACAAGGAAAGAAAAAAGGAAAACUGA